rnacentral:rRNA from 1 species
CCUACGGGAGGCUGCAGUGAGGAAUAUUGGUCAAUGGACGAGAGUCUGAACCAGCCAAGUAGCGUGAAGGAUGACUGCCCUAUGGGUUGUAAACUUCUUUUAUAUGGGAAUAAAAUGUUCCACGUGUGGGAUUUUGUAUGUACCAUAUGAAUAAGGAUCGGCUAACUCCGUGCCAGCAGCCGCGGUAAUACGGAGGAUCCGAGCGUUAUCCGGAUUUAUUGGGUUUAAAGGGAGCGUAGGUGGAUUGUUAAGUCAGUUGUGAAAGUUUGCGGCUCAACCGUAAAAUUGCAGUUGAAACUGGCAGUCUUGAGUACAGUAGAGGUGGGCGGAAUUCGUGGUGUAGCGGUGAAAUUCUUAGAUAUCACGAAGAACUCCGAUUGCGAAGGCAGUUCACUGGACUGCAACUGACACUGAGGCUCGAAAGUGUGGGUAUCAAACAGGAUUAGAUACCCUAGUAGUC